GGGGUAUACGCAAAAACCUGAAUUUUAGGUUUUUGGUUCUAAGGGUUUGGGAGGAGGAAAUAAAUUAGAAUAAAAUUAUUUUCUUCUUUAUCUUUCUUCUACCUCUUCAUCUCCUCUAGAAGUCCAUCUUCAAUCUCUAGAAAGAUUUCAUAGAUUUAUAGAAAAGAUUCAGAUUAGUCAAGAAGAAAGUCUUCGCGUGAGCUAACACUCCCGAGAAGAUCGAUUAGAUCGGGGCUUCGAGUGGAUUUCUCGUAG
rnacentral:lncRNA from 1 species